GGGCUGGGGCUCAGUGGUAGAGCAGUUGCCAAGAACGUAUGAGAUGCUGGGUUCGAUUCUCAGCACCACG
rnacentral:tRNA from 1 species